CGGCCAUAUUGACGAUUAACUCUCGCGUUCACGUGAUCACAAACGAGAUAUCGAAUUGUUUGCCGCGAAAUUUCAGUGACAGGUGCUCCUCGAUACAUAAGGAUGUUGGAUAAAACUGAUUCGAAGGACAGUUCGAAUUUGCCAUGGGUCGAAAGGUAUCGUCCAAAGAAGCUCGAGGAUCUGAUAUCGCAUGCUGACAUAAUUAACACAAUUGAGAGAUUUGUGGCAGAAGAGAGACUGCCCCACCUGCUGUUCUACGGACCUCCAGGAACAGGCAAAACCAGCACAAUCCUGGCUGUGGCAAAACAGAUCUACUCACCUAAAGAGUUCAACUCUAUGGUCCUCGAGCUGAAUGCGUCAGAUGACAGAGGUAUCGGCAUAGUCAGGAACCAGAUUCUCAGUUUUGCCAGCACAAGGACAAUCUUCAAGUCUGGCUUUAAGAUAGUCAUUCUGGAUGAAGCUGAUGCUAUGACUCGGGAUGCUCAGAAUGCUCUCAGGAGAGUGAUUGAGAAGUUCACAGAGAACACCCGAUUCUGCAUCAUCUGCAACUAUCUGUCCAAGAUCAUCCCAGCCCUGCAGUCUCGAUGUACCCGCUUUCGAUUCGGUCCGCUGUCCACACAUCAGAUGGUGCCGCGACUGGAACAUGUCAUAGCACAGGAGGGGAUUAAUGUGACAGAAGAUGGGAUGAAGGCUGUGGUUACCCUGGCAACUGGAGACAUGAGGAAGUCUCUCAACAUCCUACAGAGUGCGUCCAUGGCCUACGAGGAAGUAAAUGAAGACAACGUGUACACCUGCGUGGGACAUCCUCUCAGGAGGGACAUCGAGAACAUCGUCAACUGGGUCCUCAACGAAAACUUCACAGCGGCGUACAACAACAUCAGCCACCUGAAGGUGGCCAAAGGCCUGGCCCUCCAGGACAUCCUGACCGAGGUCCACCAGUACGUCCAUCUAGUUGACCUGCCAAUCCAUGUGCGAGUCUAUCUGCUGGAGAAACUGGCUGACAUAGAGUAUCGCCUGGCAUCAGGAACCAGUGAGAAGAUCCAGCUGAGCUCCAUGAUUGCUGCAUUCCAGACUGCACGAGACCUGCUGGUCAGCGAGGCCAAGUGACCACCUUGGAUACUGUGGGACAAGUGACACAAACUUUGACACUGUGGGAGGUGGUUAGCGUGGCCCUGUGACACAGACUUUCAUACUCACGGAGGUCUUUUUAUCAUGGGAGGUUGUUAGCAAUGCAAAGUGAUACAGCCUUUUACUCUAUGGGAGAUGGUUAACAAGGCCAAAGCUACCUUUGUAUAAAUUGUAUAUAUAAAUCAGAAUGUCAUCUUG